UAGGGAAUAUUAGUAAUGGGCGAAAGCCUGAACUAGCAACGCCGCGUGUGCGAAGAAGGCCUUCGGGUUGUAAAGCACUUUUUGAGGGGAUGAGGAAGGACGGUACUCUCAGAAUAAGUCUCGGCUACUUACGUGCCAGCAGCCGCGGUAACCCGUAGGAGGCGAACGUUAUCCGGAUUUACUGGGCGUAAAGCGCGUGUAGGUGGUUUGGUAAGUAGGGCGUGAAAGCUCCUGGCUCAACUGGGAGAGGCCGUUCUAAACUGCCGAACUAGAGGAUGGUAGAGGGAGGUGGAAUUCCGGGUGUAGCGGUGGAAUGCGCAGAUAUCCGGAGGAACACCAGUGGCGAAAGCGGCCUCCUGGACCAUUCCUGACACUCAGACGCGAAAGCUAGGGUAGCAAACGG
rnacentral:rRNA from 1 species